UGCACAAUCACCUAACUCUGAAAAUUUAAUAAGUACAGAAGAAUAUUUAUUGUGUUUAGUUUUAAUAAAUUAAAAAGUAAAUGAAAAAGGAUAUUUGCUUUCAGAUUUGAUCUUUAUUUUUAUUAUUGAGUUGCUGGUGAAUUUAUAAAAUUCGUCAAUCUUUUAAUUGUACCCUUCAGUAUUAAUUGUUCACUUCCUGUGUGAAGGUAUUUGCUCCUCACAUCAAUUAUUCGAAUUAAAUUGAUAUAAUUAUAUUUCUUUCUAUCUUUAUUUCAUGCAUGUGAUUACAUUUUUUUGAAAUGCUGGAAAUGCAGAAAACUUAUACAAAUGAUACAAUACAAAAUAACAUCACUUCUUUUUACAAAUUGUCACUGUCCAAACCCAAAAAAAUCUCUUGUAUUUGUGAUAUUAUUGUGUCCAAGCAGGGUGUGACAACUUACAAUGGAAUCAGUUCCACAUUGUUCAUCAACCUGUACUUGUGGUGGUUUAUUAAA
rnacentral:lncRNA from 1 species